rnacentral:rRNA from 1 species
AACGAACGCUGGCGGCAGGCUUAACACAUGCAAGUCGAACGCAUCCUUCGGGGUGAGUGGCAGACGGGUGAGUAACGCGUGGGAACGUGCCCUUCAGUUCGGGAUAACCCAGGGAAACUUGGGCUAAUACCGGAUACGUGCGAGAGCAGAAAGAUUUAUCGCUGAAGGAUCGGCCCGCGUCUGAUUAGCUAGUUGGUGGGGUAAUGGCCCACCAAGGCGACGAGCAGUAGCUGGUCUGAGAGGAGGAUCAGCCACAUUGGGACUGAGACACGGCCCAAACUCCUACGGGAGGCAGCAGUGGGGAAUAUUGGACAAUGGGCGCAAGCCUGAUCCAGCCAUGCCGCGUGAGUGAUGAAGGCCUUAGGGUUGUAAAGCCCUUUCGUCCGGGACGAUAAUGACGGUACCGGAAGAAGAAGCCCCGGCUAACUUCGUGCCAGCCGCCGCGGUAAUAC